rnacentral:rRNA from 1 species
GGCGGACGGGGUGAGUAAACGCGUGAGAAAUCUGGCCUCAGGUCCCGGGACAACAUUGGAAACGGUAGGCUAAUACCGGAUGUGCCAUUAGGUGAAAGAUUAAUUGCCUGAGGAUGAGCUCGCGUCUGAUUAGCUAGUUGGUGGGGUAAAAGCCUACCAAGGCGACGAUCAGUAACUGGUCUGAGAGGAUGACCAGUCACACUGGGACUGAGACACGGCCCAGACUCCUACGGGAGGCAGCAGUGGGGAAUUUUCCGCAAUGGGCGAAAGCCUGACGGAGCAAUACCGCGUGAGGGAGGAAGGCUCUUGGGUUGUAAACCUCUUUUCUCAGGGAAGAAUAAUGACGGUACCUGAGGAAUCAGCAUCGGCUAACUCCGUGC